rnacentral:tRNA from 1 species
GCCGCGGUAGCUCAAUUGGCAGAGCAUCGCACGUGAAAUGCGAAGAUUAUGGGUUCGGUUCCCACCUGCGGCA